GAUGAACGCUGGCGGCGUGCCUAAUACAUGCAAGUCGAGCGAACAGACGAGAAGCUUGCUCCUCUGACGUUAGCGGCGGACGGGUGAGUAACACGUGGAUAACCUACCUAUAAGACUGGGAUAACUUCGGGAAACCGGAGCUAAUACCGGAUAAUAUAUUGAACCGCAUGGUUCAAUAGUGAAAGACGGUUUUGCUGUCACUUAUAGAUGGAUCCGCGCCGCAUUAGCUAGUUGGUAAGGUAACGGCUUACCAAGGCAACGAUGCGUAGCCGACCUGAGAGGGUGAUCGGCCACACUGGAACUGAGACACGGUCCAGACUCCUACGGGAGGCAGCAGUAGGGAAUCUUCCGCAAUGGGCGAAAGCCUGACGGAGCAACGCCGCGUGAGUGAUGAAGGUCUUCGGAUCGUAAAACUCUGUUAUUAGGGAAGAACAAAUGUGUAAGUAACUGUGCACGUCUUGACGGUACCUAAUCAGAAAGCCACGGCUAACUACGUG
rnacentral:rRNA from 1 species